AACGAACGCUGGCGGCAGGCCUAACACAUGCAAGUCGAGCGAAGCCUUCGGGCUUAGCGGCGGACGGGUGAGUAACGCGUGGGAACGUGCCCUUUGGUACGGAAUAGCCCCGGGAAACUGGGAGUAAUACCGUAUGUGGUCGAGAGACGAAAGACUUAUCGCCAAAGGAUCGGCCCGCGUUGGAAUAGGUAGUUGGUGGGGUAAUGGCCUACCAAGCCGAAGAUCCAUAGCUGGUUUGAGAGGAUGAUCAGCCACACUGGGACUGAGACACGGCCCAGACUCCUACGGGAGGCAGCAGUGGGGAAUCUUGGACAAUGGGGGAAGCCCUGAUCUAGCCAUGCCGCGUGAUCGAUGAAGGCCUUAGGGUUGUAAAGAUCUUUCAGUGGGGAAGAUAAUGACUGUACCCACAGAAGAAGCCCCGGCUAACUCCGUGCCAGCCGCCGCCGUAAGAC
rnacentral:rRNA from 1 species